rnacentral:rRNA from 1 species
GUGUCAGCAGCCGCGGUAAUACGUAGGGUGCGAGCGUUAAUCGGAAUUACUGGGCGUAAAGUGUGCGCAGGCGGCAGAGCAAGUCGAGUGUGAAAGCCCCGGGCUUAACUUGGGAAUUGCGCUCGAAACUACUUUGCUGGAGUGUGGCAGAGGAAGGUGGAAUUCCACGUGUAGCGGUGAAAUGCGUAGAGAUGUGGAGGAACACCAAUGGCGAAGGCAGCCUUCUGGGCCAACACUGACGCUCAUGCACGAAAGCGUGGGGAGCAAACAGGAUUAGAAACCCCCGUAGUCC